AUUAAUAAGCGGAGGAAAAGAAAAUAACAAUGAUUCCCUUAGUAACGGCGAGUGAAGCGGGAAAAGCCCAGCGCUGAAUCCUCCAUCUUUCACUAGGUGGAUGAACUGUAGCGUUUGGAACACGUCCGUUCCGUCAGCCGACACGACUAAAGUUCUCCUGACCGGGGCUUUACCCAGAGAGGGUGCAAGGCCUGUUUAAGUCGUCGUUGGCAGACGGUUGGGCUGUUCUUAGAGUCGGUAUGUUUGAGAUUGCAUACCAAAGUGGGAGGAAAACUUCUCCUAAGGCUAAAUACUAACACGAGACCGAUAG
rnacentral:rRNA from 1 species